AGAAGCCGGAUGAGGUGAAAGUCUCACGUCCGGUUUUGAAGACGAGUCGGGUAAGGUAACUUACCUGGCGAAUGUUUAACUUUACUUCAGUUGUGGGCUAACCUGAU
rnacentral:ncRNA from 1 species